CCGGCACGGGUGAGUAACACGUAUGCAAUCCACCUGUAACAGGGGGAUAACCCGGAGAAAUCCGGACUAAUACCCCAUAAUAUGGGCGCUCCGCAUGGAGAGCCCAUUAAAGAGAGCAAUUUUGGUUACAGACGAGCAUGCGCUCCAUUAGCCAGUUGCGGGGUAACGGCCCACCAAAGCGACGAUGGAUAGGGGUUCUGAGAGGAAGGUCCCCCACAUUGGAACUGAGACACGGUCCAA
rnacentral:rRNA from 1 species